rnacentral:rRNA from 1 species
GGAUAGGACUAAGACAUGUUAGUCGCGCGUCUCUCAGCCAUGAAAGAGACGCGGCGUACGGCUCAGUAGCAUGUGGCUAACCUAACCUAAGGACAGAGACACCCCGGGAAACUGGGGGUAAUCCCUGAUAGGCGUGGACUCCUGGAAUGGAUUCACACCCAAAGAGCAUUUGAUUCAUGCUUCAGAUGUUGCCUUAGGAUGGGGCCGCAACCGAUCAGGUUGUUGGCGAGGUAACGGCUCACCAAGCCUAUAACCGGUACGGGCCGCGGGAGCGGUAGCCCGGAGAUGGACACUGAGACAAGGGUCCAGGCCCUACGGGGCGCAGCAGUCGCGAAAACUUCACAAUGCGCGAAAGCGUGAUGGGGCUAUCCCGAGUGCUAUCCGCUGAGGAUGGCUUUUCUCCAGUGUAAGGAGCUGGAGGAAUAAGGAGAGGGCAAGCCUGGUGUCAGCCGCCGAGGUAAUACCAGCUCUCCGAGUGGUAGGGAUGUUUAUUGGGCUUAAAGCGUCCGUAGCCGGCUCAGAAAGUCCUCCGUUAAAUCCAACGAUUUAAUCGCUGGACUG